rnacentral:rRNA from 1 species
GACGAACGCUGGCGGCGUGCUUAACACAUGCAAGUCGAACGGAAAGGCCCUGCUAUUGUGGGGUGCUCGAGUGGCGAACGGGUGAGUAACACGUGAGUAACCUGCCCUUGACUUUGGGAUAACUUCCGGAAACUGGGGCUAAUACCGGAUAGGAGCUCCUGCUGCAUGGUGGGGGUUGGAAAGUUUCGGCGGUUGGGGAUGGACUCGCGGCUCAGCAGCUUGUUGGUGGGGUAGUGGCUUACCAAGGCUUUGACGGGUAGCCGGCCUGAGAGGGUGACCGGCCACAUUGGGACUGUGGUACGGCCCAGCCUCCAACGGGGGGCAGCAGUGGGGAAUACUGCACAAGGGGCGGAAGCCUGAUGCAACACCGCCGCGUGCGGGAUGAAGGCCUUCGGGUUGUAAACCGCGUUCGCCUGUGACGAAGCGUGAGUGACGGUAAUGGGUAAAGAAGCACCGGCUAACUACGUG